UACGAGGGGGGCAAGCGUUGUUCGGAAUUAUUGGGCGUAAAGGGUGCGUAGGCGGUUGUUUAAGUUUGGUGUGAAAUCUCCCGGCUCAACUGGGAGGGUGCGCCGAAUACUGAAUGACUAGAGUGCGGGAGAGGAGAGUGGAAUUCCUGGUGUAGCGGUGAAAUGCGUAGAUAUCAGGAGGAACACCGGUGGUGUAGACGGCUCUCUGGACCGUAACUGACGCUGAGGCACGAAAGCGUGGGUAGCAAACAGG
rnacentral:rRNA from 1 species